rnacentral:rRNA from 1 species
CGAGUGAGCGGCAAAGCUCAAAUUUGAAAUCUGGUACCUUCGGUGCCCGAGUUGUAAUUUGGAGAGGGCAACUUUGGGGCCGUUCCUUGUCUAUGUUCCUUGGAACAGGACGUCAUAGAGGGUGAGAAUCCCGUGUGGCGAGGAGUGCGGUUCUUUGUAAAGUGCCCUCGAAGAGUCGAGUUGUUUGGGAAUGCAGCUCUAAGUGGGUGGUAAAUUCCAUCUAAAGCUAAAUAUUGGCGAGAGACCGAUAGCGAACAAGUACAGUGAUGGAAAGAUGAAAAGAACUUUGAAAAGAGAGUGAAAAAGUACGUGAAAUUGUUGAAAGGGAAGGGCAUUUGAUCAGACAUGGUGUUUUGUGCCCUCUGCUCCUUGUGGGUAGGGGAAUCUCGCAUUUCACUGGGCCAGCAUCAGUUUUGGUGGCAGGAUAAAUCCAUAGGAAUGUAGCUUGCCUCGGUAAGUAUUAUA